AAGCUCGUAGUUGAAUUUCGGGUUUGGACACACGGUCUGCCGAUUGGUAUGUUACUGUGUUUGUCUGGAUCAAUUUCUUUCUAGGGAGCCAUGAUGCACUUCAUUGUCGUGUCAUGGGAUCUAGAACUUUUACUGUGAAAAAAUUAGAGUGUUCAAAGCAGGCUUCACGCUUGAAUACAUUAGCAUGGAAUAAUGAAAUAGGACUUUGGUUCUAUUUUGUUGGUUUCUAGGACUAAAGUAAUGGUUAAUAGGGAUAGUUGGGGGCAUUAGUAUUUAAUUGUCAGAGGUGAAAUUCUUGGAUUUAUGAAAGACUAACUUCUGCGAAAGCAUUUGCCAAGGAUGUUUUCAUUAAUCAAGAACGAAAGUCAGGGGAUCGAAAAGGAUUAGACACCCUUGUAGUCUUGACCAUAAACUAUGCCGACUCGGGAUUGGUAGAUGUUUAUAUUUUUGACUCUAUCAGCACCGUAUGAGAAAUCAAAGUCUUUGGGUUCCGGGGGGAGUAUGGUCGCAAGGCUGAAACUUAAAGGAAUUGACGGAAGGGCACCACCAGGCGUGGAGCCUGCGGCUUAAUUUGACUCAACACGGGGAAA
rnacentral:rRNA from 1 species